rnacentral:tRNA from 1 species
GCACAGGUGAUUCAGUGGUAGAAUUCUCGCCUUCAGUGCGGGAGAUCUGGGUUUGAUUCCCGGCCAAUGCA